rnacentral:rRNA from 1 species
CUAAUACCGCAUACGUCCUACGGGAGAAAGCGGGGGAUCUUCGGACCUCGCGCCAUUAGAUGAGCCUAGGUCGGAUUAGCUAGUUGGUGAGGUAAUGGCUCACCAAGGCGACGAUCCGUAACUGGUCUGAGAGGAUGAUCAGUCACACUGGAACUGAGACACGGUCCAGACUCCUACGGGAGGCAGCAGUGGGGAAUAUUGGACAAUGGGCGAAAGCCUGAUCCAGCCAUGCCGCGUGUGUGAAGAAGGUCUUCGGAUUGUAGAGCACUUUAAGUUGGGAGGAAGGGUAGUAGCCUAAUACGUUGCUACUUUGACGUUACCGACAGAAUAAGCACCGGCUAACUUCGUGCCAGCAGCCGCGGUAAUACGAAGGGUGCAAGCGUUAAUCGGAAUUACUGGGCGUAAAGCGCGCGUAGGUGGUUCAGUAAGUUGGAAGUGAAAUCCCCGGGCUCAACCUGGGAACUGCUUUCAAAACUGCUGAGCUAGAGUACGGUAGAGGGUGGUGGAAUUUCCUGUGUAGCGGUGAAAUGCGUAGAUAUAGGAAGGAACACCAGUGGCGAAGGCGACCACCUGGACUGAUACUGACACUGAGGUGCGAAAGCGUGGGGAGCAAACAGGAUUAGAUACCCUGGUAGUCCACGCCGUAAACGAUGUCAACUAGCCGUUGGAAUCCUUGAGAUUUUAGUGGCGCAGCUAGCGCAUUAAGUUGACCGCCUGGGGAGUACGGCCGCAAGGUUAAAACUCAAAUGAAUUGACGGGGGCCCGCACAAGCGGUGGAGCAUGUGGUUUA